GGGGAAGUGGCGGAACGGUCUACGCAGUCGCCUCAAAAGCGACCGGGCGAAAGCCCUUGUGGGUUCAAAUCCCACCUUCCCCACCA
rnacentral:tRNA from 1 species